AGACCCGAAACCCGGUGAUCUAGCCAUGGGCAGGUUGAAGGUUGGGUAACACUAACUGGAGGACCGAACCGACUAAUGUUGAAAAAUUAGCGGAUGACCUGUGGCUGGGGGUGAAAGGCCAAUCAAACCGGGAGAUAGCUGGUUCUCCCCGAAAGCUAUUUAGGUAGCGCCUCGUGAAUUCAUCUCCGGGGGUAGAGCACUGUUUCGGCUAGGGGGCCAUCCCGGCUUACCAACCCGAUGCAAACUGCGAAUACCGGAGAAUGUUAUCACGGGAGACACACGGCGGGUGCUAACGUCCGUCGUGAAGAGGGAAACAACCCAGACCGCCAGCUAAGGUCCCAAAGUCAUGGUUAAGUGGGAAACGAUGUGGGAAGGCCCAGACAGCCAGGAUGUUGGCUUAGAAGCAGCCAUCAUUUAAAGAAAGCGUAAUAGCUCACUGGUCGAGUCGGCCUGCGCGGAAGAUGUAACGGGGCUAAACCAUGCACCGAAGCUGCGGCAGCGACGCUUAUGCGUUGUUGGGUAGGGGAGCGUUCUGUAAGCCUGUGAAGGUGGCCUGUGAGGGUUGCUGGAGGUAUCAGAAGUGCGAAUGCUGACAUAAGUAACGAUAAAGCGGGUGAAAAGCCCGCUCGCCGGAAGACCAAGGGUUCCU
rnacentral:rRNA from 1 species